rnacentral:rRNA from 1 species
ACUCCUACGGGAGGGCAGCAGUAGGGAAUCUUCCACGAUGGGCGCAAGCCUGAUGGAGCAACACCGCGUGAGUGAAGAAGGGUUUCGGCUCGUAAAGCUCUGUUGUUAAAGAAGAACACGUAUGAGAGUAACUGUUCAUACGUUGACGGUAUUUAACCAGAAAGUCACGGCUAACUACGUGCCAGCAGCCGCGGUAAUACGUAGGUGGCAAGCGUUAUCCGGAUUUAUUGGGCGUAAAGAGAGUGCAGGCGGUUUUCUAAGUCUGAUGUGAAAGCCUUCGGCUUAACCGGAGAAGUGCAUCGGAAACUGGAUAACUUGAGUGCAGAAGAGGGUAGUGGAACUCCAUGUGUAGCGGUGGAAUGCGUAGAUAUAUGGAAGAACACCAGUGGCGAAGGCGGCUACCUGGUCUGCAACUGACGCUGAGACUCGAAAGCAUGGGUAGCGAACAGGAUUAGAUACCCUGGUAGGAUAGCG